UCCAGCCUGCCCAGUGACCCUGUUCAUCGGCCGCAGUAUUUUAACUGUGCGAAGGUAGCGUAAUCACUUGUUCUUUAAAUGAGGACUAGUAUGAAUGGCAUCACGAAGAUUAUACUGUCUCCUUUUUCUAAUCAGAGAAACUAAUCUUCCCGUGAAGAAGCGGGAAUAAAAAUAUAAGACGAGAAGACCCUAUGGAGCUUUAAACUAAAUUACAUUUGCCUCCAUAUAACUAUUUGAGAAAAUAAAAUUAUCCUGGCAUUAUGAUAAUGAGUUUUAGGUUGGGGUGACCNCGGAGAAAAAGAUACCCUCCACAUUGAACAAGAUUUAAUCUUUAGCCAAAAACUACAAUUUUAAGCACCAACAAAUUGACAUUAUUGAUCCAAUAAAUUUGAUCAACGAACCAAGUUACCCUAGGGAUAACAGCGCAAUCUAUCUCAAGAGCCCCUAUCGACAGAUAGGUUUACGACCUCGAUGUUGGAUCAGGGUAUCCCAGUGGUGCAGUCGCUACUAAAGGUUCGUUUGNUUAA
rnacentral:rRNA from 1 species